GAAUACUGGCCGAUGACUCCCAAGAGCUCUUAUCGACGGAGUCGUUUGGCACCUCGAUGUUGACUCAUCACAUCCUGGGGUUGAAGAAGGUCCCAAGGGUUCAGUUGUUCGCCGAUGAAAGUGGUAUGUGAGUUGGGUUCAGAACGUCGUGAGACAGUUC
rfam:Triticum aestivum genome assembly, contig: Triticum_aestivum_CS42_TGACv1_scaffold_500166_6BL